CUGGAGUCAUACAUACCCAACCGUUCAAAUUGUUCUGUGUUCAGUUAGCCAUAUGUGUUAUUUGUUUGUUGUGAGAAAUGAUUAUUUAGUCUUUUUACUUAUGCUGGGCAGUAGAGUAAAGAUGCAGCCACUUGCUGUAAGGUGACCAGUAUGAUAAGUGGUUUGGGGAAGAAAGCUUCAACUCCCACAGUUCCCACUACCACCUCUAUCUAAACAGUGUCCUAGUCAUCAUGGCUCAGCCUAGCCUGCAGUUCUGAAUUUCUUUCUUACCUGAUCCAUUUUAAUGUGGACACUUAAGUCCUUGAAUAGACAAAGGGAUUUAAUGAAUGAGGCCUGAAAUUUUCUUUUCAAAGAUAAGAUUUUAUACAAAGUAACUUAAAAUAGGAAAAAGCUAAGUUUUCUGGUAAAUAUGAACCACAAAGAGCCAUGACUGUUGAACUUGCACACAUCAUCAUUAGUAUGUUGUGAUUUUUACAUGUUUUGUUGACCACUUGCUGUGAUUUUUAAAUUUUUUUAAAUUUCAGUUUGAAGUGGUAUUAAGGAAGAACUACUUAAUUGUACAUUUAUUUUUCAUCAGACAAACAUUAUAUCUGAACUAAGCAAAUGGAGACUUAAUUUUAUUGACUGGCACCAAAUGGAAAUGAAAAAAGAGAAGGAAAAACAUGCAGCACAUGUAAAGCAACUGUGCAGCCAGAUCAAUGACUUGAAGGAGCUGCAGAAAGCCUUUGAAAUUUCCAUUAGGAGAAAAGAUGAGGUGAUUUCCAGCUUGUCUCAUGCCAUCAGCAAACAAAAGGAAAGGAUAGAGUUGAUGCGAACAUUCUUCCACUGGCAGAUUGGCCAUGUCAAAUCCAGACAGAAUGUAAGUUUAAAUAAAGACAAGAUCUCUGACCAGUAUUAGACUUCUGAAAAAGGUUUCGGAUCCUGUUUAGGCACUUACCCAUUGCUGACACGCAGUCCCCUACACUCACAACUUAAAGGAGGAGAGGUUUAUU
rnacentral:lncRNA from 1 species